GAUGAACGCUGGCGGCGUGCCUAAUACAUGCAAGUCGAGCGAACAGACGAGAAGCUUGCUCCUCUGACGUUAGCGGCGGACGGGUGAGUAACACGUGGAUAACCUACCUAUAAGACUGGGAUAACUUCGGGAAACCGGAGCUAAUACCGGAUGAUAUAUUGAACCGCAUGGUUCAAUAGUGAAAGACGGUUUUGCUGUCACUUAUAGAUGGAUCCGCGCUGCAUUAGCUAGUUGGUAAGGUAACGGCUUACCAAGGCAACGAUGCGUAGCCGACCUGAGAGGGUGAUCGGCCACACGGGAACUGAGACACGGUCCAGACUCCUAAGGGAGGCAGCAGUAGGGAAUCUUCCGCAAUGGGCGAAAGCCUGACGGAGCAACGCCGCGUGAGUGAUGAAGGUCUUCGGAUCGUAAAACUCUGUUAUUAGGGAAGAACAAAUGUGUAAGUAACUAUGCACGUCUUGACGGUACCUAAUCAGAAAGCCACGGCUAACUACGUG
rnacentral:rRNA from 1 species